UGUUGUAACUGAUGCAGAAAAAAAGAGAUUGUUAGAGGAGAAAGAGAAACUGAUGCACGUUGCAGAACAUCUCAGAGAGGUAAAAGAUGCCAUAUCAAAAGACAGCCUUGACAGUGAACAAACCACUAGCUCAGCAAACUCUACAAUGAUGUGUGGGUCAGCUGAUAAUACAAUGAACAAGGAUACUAAAUCAAGGUUGGUAUUUAUAUAUGGUUUCUGGUUGGUCCUAUUCUCCAAGUAUAGUAGGGUAGUCCCAGGCGCCAUGGGUCAGUGGUUUAGGUGCCUGCAUCGUAACCAAAGUGGUUCGGUGCUCGAUGAAGAUACUAAUACUGAUCCGCGUAUGUGUCCUUGGGCAAGACACUUAAAAGAACGUUGCUCCAACCCACCGGUCACUAAUGGCUUGUUCAAGUUAUAAGCCAUAUCAAAUAAAAAUCAUACACAAAGUUGAAAAGUAUAGUAACUCGUAAGCACACGAGGACUGCGGUGCGGUGUCGCGGCACCGGUCGCAAGAAGGGCUUAAAUUGGCUUUCCGGGUGUUGGGGUAAUGGGCCAAAUCUGGCCUAAAUCCCAGGUCCUUGACAAGGACCUCACCCAUAAAGAAUAAAAAAAA